rnacentral:rRNA from 1 species
AAUCCUGGCUCAGGAUGAACGCUAGCUACAGGCUUAACACAUGCAAGUCGAGGGGCAGCAUGAAAGGAACUUCGGUUCUUUUUGAUGGCGACCGGCGCACGGGUGCGUAACGCGUAUCGAACCUGCCUCAUACUCGGGGAUAGCCUUGCGAAAGUAAGAUUAAUACCCGGCGGUCUCGGAUGGCCGCAUGACUAUCCGAGUGAAGAUUUAUCGGUAUGAGAUGGCGAUGCGUCCCAUUAG